rnacentral:lncRNA from 1 species
CUUCAAGCGCAUCAGCAAGACUGCAGCAGCAGGGCCAAAAUAGGAUAAGAACUUAUUCCUGGGUCAUUUCCAGUCUGUUGGCCACCUGUGAUCUAAUGCAGCCUAAACUUAGGAGAGUUAUCUUACUGGAUGCUCCUGGGGGAAUGGCAGCUUGUUCUCGGUUGUCCUGGUCAAGUUGUGGAAGCCAGCUAAGAGUGGGGUGGUUUUGCUUGAUGCUGUGCAGAUACGGGCAGUGACAGCCCGUACCCCCAUUGAAGUAGGCAGGACACAUGGAGAGUGGGUGGUGCUGCCAACGCAAGCUGCCAGAGCACCGUGUUUAUGUGGAACUCUUGGCUUUCAUGUAAAAUAAUCAUCAUCAUCGUAAAAAAAUCUGACCCAUUCAGUUGGAAAUAUGAUCCCUUAAAGAGUCGGAAACCACAAGGUCAUUCAAAAAGGCUCAUAAUUCAUAUGUAUAUCCUUAUAACUCUUGAUUUUUAAGCCGAAAUCAUGAUGUUUGGAGGCCCAACUCAAGUCUUAUGAAUUCCUAGAGGCUGACAGUACCGAGUGAGAAAAGGGCAAAAUUAGCACAUGGGAAGAAAGAGGGUUGCCAAAGGUAUGAGAGCAAGUCAGUGGGAGAGCCAGGCCUCCUGCCUCCUCGCCCCAAGUACUAGCCACAUUGUCUGGCCUCCUUCCCCAAAGGAAACUAAGAGGCCUUAAAGAAAUCCUAGCUGUUUCAGUCUUGUGUUUCCAUCUUCCUUUUGAUGCUCUUAUUUUCAGCAACAUGUACAUUUCGCAGCAUCCUGCUGCUCCCCAUAGGGUAUUAUUCCAUCUCUGGGGCUCGUGGCCAUGAUAGUGUGUGCUGAUGACAGCUGUGGGAGUUUGCAAGUAGCUUAACAUUUGCAUGCCAUGAAUAUGCAGCUCUGAGCAUGGCCCAGUUCUCUGUGCAGCCAUCCUGUGCACGUUUACAAGGGACGGCAGCAUCCUGCAUAUUUCAGGAUCCCAGGAGACACCAGUUCCUAGUGCCUUAGGUGACAUUUUUGCGUACGCUUGGCUGUUCAUAAUCACAAACACCUGGAUAACCGGAUUUCUGGGAAAACUGCUUGCUUUUAAUCAUAGCAAAAAUCAGGGACUUCAUGGUUGAGUAGCAAUGCUCCCUACCUGAGCCAUUUCCAGGAUCUGAUGUCUGCACGGAGCCCUCCCGGCAUGCAGUACAGCGCUGGCCAAGGGCAGAGCCUGCAAGCUGCUCCUCUCCCUACUGCACCGACUUCCAGGUUCUGUUUGCACCAGCCCAAUGUCAAACAUCGCAGCAGCAGCUCUGGCGGAAGGGCUUUGGCUGAGUCUCUGUAAUGAUUCCCAUCUUCCUGCUGCUGCUCUGCAAUCAGCACUAUUCGCAGCGCUGUUCAAAGCAGCACUGAUGGCAUCAGAGCAGAAGGAUGAGCGAUAUGGGGAAGAGGGAUGCUUUUUUUAAGUCAGUGGUACUGCUAGCUGCUUGAGUUCCUGCUCUCUGAUGCACUUCCAUGGCAAAGAGGAUAAAGGUACGGCAGGCAGGUAGCUCCAGCAGGCUUUAGACUUGGCCAGGGUUGCUGUCUCAAGGGAAGGACUUGUGCGGGGGUUAUAAAUAGUUCCCACUCUCAUUAGAAAGCUGUACAGUCCUUAAGGUCCCACUUGCAUGUACAUCCCGUUGACUUGGCAGAUCAGAAAAAAAAUUGAGGCUGCAGCCUGGAAACUUUGCUCUUGGACCCUGAGUAUCAAGAUUGGCUCUAGGUAGAAGAGAUCACCCAGAGUCAGUGCUCCAGUCCACCCAUUAUUUAUGCUCUGGUAGCGCACAACCAUAGUCUAUAGCGUAUCAUGCUUGCACUAACCAAAACUUGGGUCCAAAUCUCUCUAGUCUCAGUAGAUAAAGACUGCUGCGUGACUCUGCUAGACUACACCACGCUAUAUUAUGCAACUGCAUGGCUGUGUGUAGGGGUGAUCUCCAGCUAUGAAGCCACAUUAACUGUUGUUUCUACUUAACUGCCUGCUUCAUCAAUCGAUGCUUCAUCAAUCGACUCUUCAUACCGCAGGAGGAACCAGCUGCCCCAGCCUUGCCCAGAGCUUUAUGGCAAUGGUGAGGACAAAUCCACACCUCAAAGAAAAAUGAUAAGCACAAUAGGAAAUGAAAGGCAGCAGGAGAAGGCAGCUGUGAGAGCAACAAGUCAGCGCAAAGCAGCAGCCUCAGGAAACUGGCUCUCGAGUGGCUGGGGGUCACUACAAAGUGAGACGUCAGGAAGGAUUUGUAGGCAGAUACUGUUGUCCUUUUAGGCCUAUUCCAGGAAUAAACACAAAGAAAUACGAUGAUACUUUUUUUGAGAUGGAUGCAUGGCACAGCAUAGGUACAUGACAAGAAGCGUUGCUUUGUCUUUCCACAAAGGGUUGUUGUGGGUUUUUUUCAUUACUUCAAAUGUCUGUAUAGGUACUCCCAUUUCAAUCCCUGUAGUAUAAGCCAAACAGAGAUGAAACCAAGGGUUUUUUUUUGAGAGCUCUAUAAUUAACAACUGGUCCCUUGAGCAGCAGAAGCAAUCAAGCCUGCUUUUCUCCGAAUUUGUGCCAUAUGUGGAUUCUUUGCUGUCUCAGGAGUGAAUUCACUCUGCUGUCCUUUGCUCACAGAAGGCCCUACUAUUUCACUCUGACCAACUGUGCAGGAAACUCAUACCUUUAAUACCUCUCUCUUGCCUUCCAGUUUGGGUGAAGUUGGCAAGAGGGUCCCGAAGCUUCCAGAGGGCUGGAAAGACAGAUGGCAGGGAAGAACUGGCAAUCAGAUAAAAGCAGAAGCAUGGCACAUGAGAGGGAAGGAAAGAUGAGAUGUUCAAAAGGGGUCUUGGCAGAGCCACAGGAGAAGACCCAGCAUGGUUCAGGAGAGGACACACACUGCCCACCGGGAAAGGCUUGUGGGUGAGUAUGGAGUCUCUGACCAUGCCAGCCUCUAGCAAUGGCAGACACCUGCUGCUGAUAGGUUAUUUAGCUCAGCCUCUCUGCAAACUCAAUCCCUGCCACCAGAGCCUUCCCUAAGGUGGGAGUUUCCUCCCUUUACCGUGAAAGUGAUGGGAUCUCCUGGCCGAGAUAUGCAAGAACAGUGCCUCUGAACAGCAUCUAGUGCUCUGGGUGCAAAAAGAUGACUAAAAGAUCCAUGGGAACUUCUUCCUCUUCUCUCUCCUCCCUCCCCACUUUCCUGGUUCAACCCCUAUUCCUUUCGGGAUAUUGGACUUUGAUUCAGGAAAGCAGCCCCAGGUCCCGAGCAACAUUUGUCCUGGGCACAAGGGCAUCAGAAACAGAAUCAUGACUGUCAGCAGAACCGGGAAGCGCAGGCCUGCGUGGUCCCUAGGGGGAAAUUAUUUGCUGAUUGCAUCUGUUUCCCAGAAGCAUCACUCCAAUUUAUCCUGGGAUUCACGUUUUUCUCCAGCAAAUAAGCACCUCGGGAGCUUCAUUUCCAUCUCAGAUGUUAAAUUUAGAAGUGGUGCUUCCCCUUCUCCCAUCCUCUCCCUGCCCCCUCCCCAAUGGCUCCCGUAUCUCCCCUCCAGCCCCCACCCUCACCUCCAGCUCUCCCUCUUUGUCGCAUUACAUAGUAAUCUGAGAUGCAUUGGCCGAGCUCCAGGGAACAGAAUGUACUUGGCAGGGAGACGGGUCUUGAUGUCUGCAAAAUGUCGGGAAAUGCAGCCAAGAGCUGCUAACUGGGUCAUUAACCUCUAGAAGAAGAGCAAGUUGUGGAGCUGUGCUCUGUCUCCCUUCAUCUCGCCAAUAAAAAUGUCCCAGCAACGAGAGAGGGAAGAAGAGGUUUACAGCUUUAAGUCCUAAGCAGUCAAUGCAGCCACCCUCCCUGGCCCCCCUUCUCCCUACCCUCUCCCCCAGCGCAGCAUUAAAGCUUAUAAGUGGCCUUUUAAAAUCACAGCGAUUCCCGCGGAGCUGUCCCUCGGUGCUUGUAAAGAGGCUACUGGAGCAAACCAGUCGCUUCCAGAGGCGUGCUGCUCCUGCCAUUCGUGGUCAGAGGGGCUCUGAGGAAGGGCCUUUCUGUUGGGUUGCAGCCCCUGUGUGAGGUGGGACAGGGUGCUGCUAUCACCCACAGACCUGAGUGUCCCAACCUCUUCGCUGUCCCCGUGAGCCGUGUGCCACAUUUCUUGGCCGUUCCAUUGCCAUGAGUUGCCUUUCUACACAGUGGUGCUGAAGUCGGGAAGAGGUGGCUGGUUCCUCUGUGUGGGGAAGGGGUGCAGUGCAGUGAGAUGGGCCGAGGAGGGCCCCAAGCACAAACGGCUCAGCCCGUGUCACUUGGUGCAACUUGAAAGAAAGCAAAGCUGUUUGCUGACAACGUUGAGGUCUCUGUAAUCUGGAGGGGGGUUGGAGGGCAGGCUGUGGGCUCCCCAGAACUGGUGCCCACCAUUGUCUGCCCAGAAGAGGUAGCCAAAGAGUGGGGGAGGGAGCUGCAUCUCCCAAAACCUUCCACAACCCAUACCAGCUGUUGGUGGAGCAGACUGCAGGAUGGAGGUCAGUGUGGUGGUGGAUGGGAGAGGGGAAGAAAGCUGUUGCGUGGCUGGACCUCUUCCUCGGGGAUGUGGUUUCCAUCCCUCUCCUCUUCCAGAGCAGACCCUGCCUCAGGAACUGUUGACUGGGCUGUCCAAGGACUCCCCUGCUUACUUCUACACCUGAUGCCAUUACAUUGGACUUCCAUGAGUUUUUCUACCCAAGUACACCUUCCCUUUGCCCUUAAUCCAUCCUCCGUUAUAAAAGAAUGUGUAAAAUAUUCUGUCUAGGCAGAAACAGCGGAAAGCACUGCCUUCAAAGCUGUACCUCUCCAGGUGAGCCAAGCGAGACAAGGCGGAAAUGAACCACAGCCUAGGAGUGCAUUGGGUCCUGCAUGAGGACAGCAUGCUGACCUGAAGAUGACAUUCGGUGCCAUUCCCUGCGAGCAGGACACUCGCGGUGCUUUGUGGCGACAACACCGCAGCGCGAAGGCACCUGGAGGGCGUCCUGUCGUCAGCUACCCAGCAAACGGAGCCUGGGGAAAGGCUGGGACAACCUCGAGCGACGCCAAGCUCCGGCAGCCCCGUUCUGCUCCGUGACCCCUCCCCGCACGGCCGGGGGAGGCCGCACCGCCGCUCCCCGAGCGCC